GUGCUCCCUUCGGCAGCACGUAUACUAAAACUGGAAUGAAACAGAGAAGAUUAGCAUGGCCCCUGCACAAGGAUGACACGCAAAUCUGUGCAGCGUACAUUUU